rnacentral:rRNA from 12 species
UGUUGCAGUUAAAAAGCUCGUAGUUGAAUUUCUGGUCUCGGACAUCGGUCUGCCUCGAACGAGGUACGUACCAGUUGUCUGAAUCCAUCCUCGGGGAAAACAUAUCUGUCAUUCAGUUGAUGGGUAUGGGAUCCUCGUCAUUUACUGUGAGCAAAAUAGAGUGUUCAAAGCAGGCUUAUGCCGUUGAAUACAUUAGCAUGGAAUAAUAAGAUAAGACCUUGGUCUAAUUUUGUUGGUUUGUACUCCAAGGUAAUGAUUAAUAGGGAUAGUUGGGGGUAUUCGUAUUCAAUUGUCAGAGGUGAAAUUCUUGGA